GACGAACGCUGGCGGCGUGCUUAACGCAUGCAAGUCGAGCGGUAAGGCCCUUUCGGGGGUACACGAGCGGCGAACGGGUGAGUAACACGUGGGUGACCUGCCCUCAGCUCUGGGAUAAGCCUGGGAAACCGGGUCUAAUACUGGAUAUGACUCCAUGACGCAUGUUGUGGGGUGGAAAGCCUUGUGCGGCUGAGGAUGGGCCCGCGGCCUAUCAGCUUGUUGGUGGGGUGANGGCCUACCAAGGCGACGACGGGUAGCCGGCCUGAGAGGGCGACCGGCCACACUGGGACUGAGACACGGCCCAGACUCCUACGGGAGGCAGCAGUGGGGAAUCUUGCGCAAUGGGCGAAAGCCUGACGCAGCGACGCCGCGUGAGGGAUGACGGCCUGG
rnacentral:rRNA from 1 species